UACGAAGGGGGCUAGCGUUGUUCGGAAUCACUGGGCGUAAAGGGCGCGUAGGCGGGUCUUUAAGUCAGGGGUGAAAUCCUGGAGCUCAACUCCAGAACUGCCUUUGAUACUGAAGAUCUUGAGUUCGGGAGAGGUGAGUGGAACUGCGAGUGUAGAGGUGAAAUUCGUAGAUAUUCGCAAGAACACCAGUGGCGAAGGCGGCUCACUGGCCCGAUACUGACGCUGAGGCACGAAAGCGUGGGGAGCAAACAGG
rnacentral:rRNA from 1 species